rnacentral:lncRNA from 1 species
UCCCGGUGCCGCUGCCGGCCUCCCGCAGCGCCGCCCUCCUCCCGCGCCUAUUUACAGGAGGGCCCAUAUUUAGGAACCUAUAUUUACACCUCCUACUCUUACACCCACUCAUUUAUUUGUUAAUUUGGCACCCAGGGUCAGAUUUUAGAGGCUCAGAAGUGGUUCUGGUGGUGUGCGUCCCAAACACGUCCAGGCUAUAAUUUCUGUGUCCGGUUACUGUGUUGUGUACGGCUAACUGUAACUGAGGUUGUUUUGGGAUUGCUCCCCUUCCUGUGUAGUUGCUGCCGCAGGAACUGCAGGCAAGUGGGAUGGAGCAGGAAACUCAGAGCUGACUUCUUUUCUGCAUGGCCCCUUGGGGCUGCUGCUUAGCACAGUUGCAUCCUCCCUGACCCCUGGACCGCACCACCACCAGGGCAGAAACAUCUCUACUGCAGCCAGCACAGAGAGGCCUGACAGCGCAGAAGAACUUUGUACUCACAGCAUGCAUGACAGGAGCAAUUUGCAUCCUGCUCAACACAGACUUCAGGAUGAUGCAGAAUGGGAAAAGGAGAUGCGUUCUCAGGGUCAUUAUAGCAGUCCUGCCCUCCUGCUGGGGGUGGGCCAGUUUUUGAUGGGAGUUGCAGGAGUCUUUGAUAUGCUCUCAAACUAGACAAAGGCAAACUGUGGAUGGAGCCACAGGCCUCUUGAUGCACGUGCCCAGAGGCAUGGGCUGUGCUCCAUGGAGAGGAGCAGCUGAAGUGGCUGCAGCCACCCUGUCCCCUGCCAGGGGCUCUGAGCAGGGACCCGCUGGGCUCAGCAGGUGAAGGCCACUUCUAACUCACAAAACUCUAUGGAGAAAGGACAAGGGCAGAUGGGGGGGGGGCAGUUACUCUCAACCUUAAGAGGCCCUUUCUUGCCCUUUGCCUCUUGAACACCUCUUCUGCAUGGCUUUUCCGAGGGGCUUUCUUUCUUCCUGGGCAGUGACUCAAUCUGCUCGUUCUCUGCAGAAGUCCUGCCCUCUGCACUGAGAGCACU